rnacentral:rRNA from 1 species
UACGAAGGGGGCUAGCGUUGCUCGGAAUCACUGGGCGUAAAGGGUGCGUAGGCGGGUCUUUUAAGUCAGGGGUGAAAUCCUGGAGCUCAACUCCAGAACUGCCUUUGAUACUGAAGAUCUUGAGUUCGGGAGAGGUGAGUGGAACUGCGAGUGUAGAGGUGAAAUUCGUAGAUAUUCGCAAGAACACCAGUGGCGAAGGCGGAGCUCACUGGCCCGAAACGUGGAACGCUGAGGCACGAAAGCGUGGGGAGCAAACAGGG